GGAUGGACUCGCGGCCUAUCAGACUGGUUGGUGAGUGGUAACGGCUCACCAAGGCGAUCCGAUCGGGUUAGCCGGCCUGAAAAGUGGCGACCGGGCACUACUGGGACUGAGACACGGUCCAGACUCCUACGGGAGGCAGCAGUGGGGAAUCUUGCGCAAUGGGGGCAACCCUGACGCAGGGACGCCGGUGAGUGAUGAAGGCCUUCGGGUUUGUAAAAAGCUCUGUGGGAGGGAGACGAAAUAAUUCAUGGCCAAUAUCCAUGAUUGAUGACGGUAUCCCUUUAGCAAGCACCGGGUAACUCUGUGCCAGCAGCCGGGUAAGACAGAGGGGUGCCACACGUUGUUCG
rnacentral:rRNA from 1 species